AAAAACAUCUUUUCUUGUAUAUAAAAUAUGAAGUAUGACCUGCCCACUGAUUAAUUAUUAAAGGGCCGCGGUAUUUUGACCGUGCAAAGGUAGCAUAAUCAUUAGUCCUUUAAUUGUGGACUGGAAUGAAUGGUUGGACGAGGAAUAUACUGUUUCUUAUUAUUUUAUUUGAAUUUAAUUUUUGAGUUAAAAGGCUUAAAUUUAUUUAUGGGACGAGAAGACCCUAUAGAGUUUAUACAUAUAUUUAUUUAUUUAUUUUGUUUGAUUAUUAUAUUAUUAUUUAAUAUGUUUUGUUGGGGUGAUAGGAAGAAUUAAUUAACUCUUUUUUAUUUUAUACAUUGAUUUAUGAAAGGUUGAUCCAUUUUUGUUGAUUAUAAGAUUAAAUUACCUUA
rnacentral:rRNA from 1 species